rnacentral:rRNA from 1 species
UACGUAGGGUGCGAGCGUUAAUCGGAAUUACUGGGCGUAAAGCGUGCGCAGGCGGUUUUGUAAGACAGAUGUGAAAUCCCCGGGCUCAACCUGGGAACUGCGUUUGUGACUGCAAGACUCGAGUGCGGCAGAGGGGGGUGGAAUUCCACGUGUAGCAGUGAAAUGCGUAGAGAUGUGGAGGAACACCGAUGGCGAAGGCAGCCCCCUGGGCUAACACUGACGCUCAGGCACGAAAGCGUGGGGAGCGAACAGG